GACGGAGGAUGCAAGCGUUAUCCGGAAUGAUUGGGCGUAAAGCGUCCGCAGGUGGCAGUUCAAGUCUGCUGUCAAAGACCCGGGGCUUAACUCGGAAAGGCAGUGGAAACUGAACAGCUAGAGUAUGGUAGGGGCAGAGGGAAUUCCUGGUGUAGCGGUGAAAAUGCGUAGAGAUCAGGAAGAACAUCGGUGGCGAAGGCGCUCUGCUGGACCAUAACUGACACUCAGGGACGAAAGCUAGGGGAGCGAAUGGG
rnacentral:rRNA from 1 species